UGCAGUCGUACGAGAAUUUUUGACUCNAGUGGCGGACGGGUGAGUAACACGUAAGAAUUUGCCUUUAGGAGGGGGACAACAACUGGAAACGGUUGCUAAUACCCCAUAUGCUUUCGAGUGAAAUGAAUUUAUUUGCCUGAAGAGAAGCUUGCGGCUGAUUAGCUUGUUGGUGGGGUAAUGGCCUACCAAGGCGACGAUCAGUAUCUGGUUUGAGAGGAUGAUCAGACACACUGGAACUGAGACACGGUCCAGACUCCUACGGGAGGCAGCAGUGGGGAAUUUUCCGCAAUGGGCGAAAGCCUGACGGAGCAAUACCGCGUGAGGGAUGACUGCCUAUGGGUUGUAAACCUCUUUUUUCAGGGAGGAACAAAAUGACGUGUACCUGAAGAAUAAGCAUCGGCUAACUCCGUGCCAGCAGCCGCGGUAAGACGGAGGAUGCAAGUGUUAUCCGGAAUCACUGGGCGUAAAGCGUCUGUAGGUGGUUUGAUAAGUCAACUGUUAAAUCUUGAAGCUCAACUUCGAAAUCGCAGUCGAAACUAUUAAACUAGAGUAUAGUAGGGGUAAAGGGAAUUUCCAGUGGAGCGGCGAAAUGCGUAGAGAUUGGAAAGAACACCGAUGGCGAANGCACUUUACUGGGCUAUUACUAACACUCAGAGACGAAAGCUAGGGUAGCAAAUGGGAUUAGAUACCCCAGUAGUCUUAGCUGUAAACAAUGGAUACUAGAUGUUGAACAGAUCGACCUGUGCAGUAUUAAAGCUAACGCGUUAAGUAUCCCGCCUGGGAAGUAUGCUCGCAAGANUGAAACUCAAAGGAAUUGACGGGGGCCCGCACAAGCGGUG
rnacentral:rRNA from 1 species